rnacentral:rRNA from 1 species
AUUGAACGCUGGCGGCAGGCCUAACACAUGCAAGUCGAGCGGAUGAAGGGAGCUUGCUCCUGGAUUCAGCGGCGGACGGGUGAGUAAUGCCUAGGAAUCUGCCUAGUAGUGGGGGAUAACGUCCGGAAACGGGCGCUAAUACCGCAUACGUCCUGAGGGAGAAAGUGGGGGAUCUUCGGACCUCACGCUAUCAGAUGAGCCUAGGUCGGAUUAGCUAGUUGGUGGGGUAAAGGCCUACCAAGGCGACGAUCCGUAACUGGUCUGAGAGGAUGAUCAGUCAGACUGGAAUCGAGAAACGGUGCAGACUCCUACGGGAGGCAGCAGUGGGGAAGAUUGGACGAUGGGCGAAAGGCUGAUCCAGCCAUGCCGCGUGUGUGAAGAAGGUCUUCGGAUUUUAAAGUACUUUAAGUUGGGAGGAAGGGCAGUAAGUUAAUACCUUGCUGUUUUGACGCUACCAACAGAAUAAGCACCGGCUAACUUCGUG